UAAUACGGAGGAUCCAAGCGUUAUCCGGAAUCAUUGGGUUUAAAGGGUCCGUAGGCGGCCCAGUAAGUCAGUGGUGAAAUCUCCCGGCUCAACCGGGAAAUGGCCAUUGAUACUGCUGGGCUUGAAUUAUUAGGAAGUAACUAGAAUAUGUAGUGUAGCGGUGAAAUGCUUAGAUAUUACAUGGAAUACCGAUUGCGAAGGCAGGUUACUACUAAUGGAUUGACGCUGAUGGACGAAAGCGUGGGUAGCGAACAGGAUUAGAUACCCUGGUAGUCCACGCCGUAAACGAUGGAUACUAGCUGUUGGGCGCAAGCUCAGUGGCUAAGCGAAAGUGAUAAGUAUCCCACCUGGGGAGUACGAACGCAAGUUUG
rnacentral:rRNA from 1 species